AAGUCUUUACGGAGAAAGCUUUAUGCACCAUUGGAUGAGCCUGCACUUGAUUAGUUUGUUGGUGGGGUAAUGGCCUACCAAGACUGUGAUCAAUAGCUGAUUUGAGAGGAUGAUCAGCCACAUUGGGACUGAGACACGGCCCAAACUCCUACGGGAGGCAGCAGUGGGGAAUCUUGCACAAUGGAGGAAACUCUGAUGCAGCGAUGCCGCGUGAGUGAAGAAGGCCUUUGGGUUGUAAAGCUCUUUCGUCGGGGAAGAAAAUGACUGUACCCGAAUAA
rnacentral:rRNA from 1 species